GCAUAUCAAUAAGCGGAGGAAAAAGAAACUAACAAGGAUUCCCCUUAGUAACUGCGAAGUGAAGCGGGAAAAGCUCAAAUUUAAAAUCUGGCAGUCUUUGAUUGUCCGAGUUGUAAUCUAGAGAAGCAUUAUCCGCGCUGGACCGUGUACAAGUCUCCUGGAAUGGAGCGUCAUAGAGGGUGAGAAUCCCGUCUUUGACACGGACUGCCAGGGCUUUGUGAUGUGCUCUCAAAGAGUCGAGUUGUUUGGGAAUGCAGCUCAAAAUGGGUGGUAAAUUCCAUCUAAAGCUAAAUAUUGGCGAGAGACCGAUAGCGAACAAGUACCGUGAGGGAAAGAUGAAAAGAACUUUGGAAAGAGAGUUAAACAGUACGUGAAAUUGCUGAAAGGGAAACGCUUGAAGUCAGUCGCGUUGUCCGGGAAUCAACCUUGCUUUUGCUGGGCGUACUUCCUGGUUAACGGGUCAGCAUCAAUUUUGACCGUUGGAUAAAGUUGUUGGGAAUGUGGCUUCUUCGGAAGUGUUAUAGCCCAGUUUCGCAUACAACGGUUGGGAUUGAGGAACUCAGCACGCCGAAAGGCCGGGUUUUUAACCACGUUCGUGCUUAGGAUGCUGGCAUAAUGGCUUUAAUCGACCCGUCUUGAAACACGGACCAAGGAGUCUAACAUGCCUGCGAGUGUUUGGGUGGAAAACCCGAGCGCGUAAUGAAAGUGAAAGUUGAGAUCCCUGUCGUGGGGAGCAUCGACGCCCGGACUUGAACUUCUGUGACGGAUCCGCGGUAGAGCAUGUAUGUUGGGACCCGAAAGAUGGUGAACUAUGCCUGAAUAGGGUGAAGCCAGAGGAAACUCUGGUGGAGGCUCGUAGCGAUUCUGACGUGCAAAUCGAUCGUCAAAUUUGGGUAUAGGGGGCGAAAGACUAAUCGAACCAUCUAGUAGCUGGUUCCUGCCGA
rnacentral:rRNA from 1 species